CAACAUUCCCCCCAAAAACCUCUUUCACAGAUCCGAAUUCGAAAUUCAAAUCAAUAGAACUAAGAAAAUCUUUCUUUAGAUCUUAGAUCACCACGAAAAAAAUCCAAAAACAGAAAAAAUACAACAACAAUAAAAACAAUAGGCAUUGUUCAGUUGGUUUUCUAGAUUGGUUUUGCUCGAUUUUUCUUUUCUUCUGAUAGUUGAAGCUUUUGAAAUAUAUGGGUUUAGUUUAAGCAGCUCUAGGGUCUAAUUACUCUGGUUUGGAUCAAGUUUUGGUUUUGUUGAAUGUUUCUGGAUAUAUUUUCAUGUAUAACUUGGCCCAGUUGUAUGUGAAUUGUUGCUUGUUGUGGCGUGUGAUCUAUUGUCAAUAGUUCUGGAUCUAUUUUUGUGUUUUGGAACCAAAGCUGGUCUGUUUCCUCGGUUUUGAACUGUUGUUAUUCACUGCUCGACUGCUUACUUCUUCUCCAUUCUGAACUUGAUGCGUGUAAACAUCCAUUUGAAAUGAAAUGAAAUGGAGGCCUAAUUUUAGUUGAAG
rnacentral:lncRNA from 1 species